GUGGAGGCAAGACAGAAGUGUGCCCCAGAGAGCUGUCACCCAGCGUGAUGGUGAGCUGUCACCCGGAGUCAUGGUGAGCUGUCAGCCAGAGUCACGGUGAGCUGUCACCCAGAGUCACAGUGAGCUGUCAGCCAGAGUCACAAUGCUACGGAUGGGCUGAGGGCAGAGGCUGCCGGGAGAGAGAAGAGCCUGACUGGGCACAGAGCCAGGUCAAAAGGCAAAUCUACUGUCUCCAGUCCCUGCAACAAGGAGUGCCCAGAAAGCAGCAGUAAACCUAAGGGAACGGAGAACAUUCUGUAUAUUCUUCCAGGACUCCAUGGAGAGUGGCUUUUCAGAUUCUUCCAUCAAGAUGGGGCAUCUAUUUCUGUUCUUGAUUCUGAUCUUGUGACUUGUUUGGCCAAUGAAAUGUGAUAGGAGUUGUGGUGAGCCAGGAGCAAUCCUGCGCUCGAGAAGGC
ensembl:lncRNA